AUGAGUAUAGCUCAGUGUUACAGCACCUGACUGGGAAGCAGGAGGUCUUGAGUUCGAUUCCCAGUACAAAUA
rnacentral:tRNA from 1 species